rnacentral:lncRNA from 12 species
AAUUUUUCACAGACAAUUUAAGAGACCAAUUAGAUUUAGCUUCACUAAUUGCUGAAAUAUUGUCAGAUUACAAGCUUGGGAGAGGAGGAAAGAGAAAACCAAAAACAUCUGCUGUGUCCCUGAAAAGGCAAGUUUGAACACAUAUUUUAUCCUUUAUCUCCUGUGGAAGCUGGACCCAGCCUACUAUCUGUUGAAUAAGUACGUCAAUUAUUAAUCUAU